UGCGUAGGCGGUUUGGUAAGUCUGAUGUGAAAUCUAUGGGCUCAACUCAUAGUCUGCAUCGGAAACUGCCGGGCUUGAGUGUGGGAGAGGUGAGUGGAAUUCCUGGUGUAGCGGUGAAAUGCGUAGAUAUCAGGAGGAACACCUGUGGCGAAAGCGGCUCACUGGACCAUAACUGACGCUGAUGCACGAAAGCUAGGGGAGCAAACA
rnacentral:rRNA from 1 species